rnacentral:lncRNA from 1 species
AUUUAAAUCAAAUAAAAAAUAAUAUGAACAACAAUUCUUUUUUAAUAAGUAAACAUAUGAUUAAAAAAAAUGACAAUAAAAUAUAAAAAAUAUAAAUAAAUACUUAAAAUUCUAACAUCAAUUGAUAAUAUUUAAUCCUAAUUUGAAUAACAAACAAUGUUGUUCUUCCGUAUAUGGACCUACAAAUAAAGAAUUAUAACUCAAAAUUAGUACAAUUUCUGAUUGUAGAAUUAAACUUGAAUAUUUUAUCCACUCCUCUGUUCCCAAUCCACAUGUUAUUUAUCCCUCAUAGUCAUCUUCAUCAGUCUCUGCAAAAAUCCAAAUAGUAAAUAAAAGUUACAAAGAUAAAUGAAUAAUAUUUUGGCUUCUUAAAAAGAAGUUUACAAUUUCUACCAAAAAAANNNNNNNNNNAACAAAAUACCUGCAAAGAAAAACAAAUAAAAUUUAGAUUUCAUUCCACUUGAGAGCAACAAAAAUUAUAUUGAACAAAUAAAUAAGAAAUAACCAACAAUAGCAAUAGAUUUUUUAUUUUUUUUUUAAAAAAAAAACCAACAAUAGAAAUAGAUAGUAUAUAUAGAAACUAUAGUAGAUUUUUG